AACCUUAUCUAUAUUCUUCUGAGGAAUCUAUCUGUCUUGAGUGGGGAGAGAUUAGAUUAUUCUGAGAGGAAUGGAAAUAGAAAGCAUUAAUAUUCAGCUCUGACAUCUAAAUUUGGAUCUUUGAUUACUUAACAAGAGAACUGCCUUAAAAGUGACACUCAACUGUCUCACCUUAUCACCUAAAUUUCAUCACGGAAAGAAAAGGGUAAGGUGGUUGAAUUCCAAACAUAUCACCUAAAGAGACUGAGUCAUCUAAGAAAGAAUUUACAUCAGCCCUAACAUGGAAUUGAACUUAAAUGAACUGAAUAUUUAAAGUGAAAGGAACUCUUUAAACCUGAAUAAAAUGAGACAUUGUUAAUUGCAA